GGACACAUUGAUCAUCGACACUUCGAACGCACAUUGCGGCCCAGGUAAUUGCCUGGGCCACGUCUGGCUGAGUGUCGCGUUUCGAUCGAUCGGGGCCUCCGGGCCCCGCGGCUGGAGCGUCGUAGGGGGAUUCCUCGACCGGACUCCCUCCGUCCUCCUAAGUUCAGACCGCCAUCGGGGGUUUGGGAGUGUCCUCCUCUCCCGCGGCUGCCGGUGGGACCGAACCACCCUCCGCUGCCCGCGCGAUGUGGAUCCCCAGUCUCCCGUCUCGGCAGAGACGGUCUUCAGGCCAGCCUCCCUCCGGGGAGCGGCCGCUCGAUCAUCCCACGUCCGACCUCAGCUCAGGCGAGACGACCCGCUGAAUUUAAGCAUAUUACUAAGCGGAGGAAAAGAAACUAACAAGGAUUCCCUCAGUAGCGGCGAGCGAAGAGGGAAGAGCC
rnacentral:rRNA from 1 species